AUAUACAAAAAUCUUCAUUUGGUUAUAAACAAACUAUAGAUAUUGAAACUGAAGCUUUUGGACUUCUAUUUAUCUUUUUAUGGCUAGAAGAUAAAAUAUUCUUAUUUUGAGAAAACGUACAAGGAGAUAGAAGAAGAGGAAAUGAAUUUAUUGCUCAUUUUCAAUGAAGAAGAAAAUCAAUUUCUCUUUUCCUUUUAGCAACCACGAUCAUGUAACAUCCCUUUUUGAAAUGCUGAAAAGCCCACAAGAUUUGCUUUGCUAUAUAGGUAUGAAUCUUUUCUAUAUUUAUUUCUAUUCAUUCAUAUAAUUUACAAAAAUAUGCUUUCUAUUUACGAGAA